GACGAACGCUGGCGGCGUGCUUAACACAUGCAAGUCGAGCGGUAAGGCCCUUUCGGGGGUACACGAGCGGCGAACGGGUGAGUAACACGUGGGUGACCUGCCCUCAGCUCUGGGAUAAGCCUGGGAAACUGGGUCUAAUACUGGAUAUGACUCCACGGUGCAUGUCGUGGGGUGGAAAGCCUUGUGCGGCUGAGGAUGGGCCCGCGGCCUAUCAGCUUGUUGGUGGGGUGANGGCCUACCAAGGCGACGACGGGUAGCCGGCCUGAGAGGGCGACCGGCCACACUGGGACUGAGACACGGCCCAGACUCCUACGGGAGGCAGCAGUGGGGAAUCCUGCGCAAUGGGCGAAAGCCUGACGCAGCGACGCCGCGUGAGGGAUGACGGCCUCGGUUGUAAC
rnacentral:rRNA from 1 species